GAACGCAUUCUUCCUCUCCAUUCACCGUGAAUGUGAGUGUCUGUGUGGAAAGUCCCGGCUGACAUCAUUCGAUAACGCUCUGUUUAACCCAACGUAAUUAAGCUGGGGCUGAUAUGACAAGAUAAGGGCUCAGCACAACCUGCUUCUUGCUCAGGUUAGGCCGCAGGUGAGUCCAUCAAUCUUUCCCUACCACCUUUCCGAUGAACUCACUCAGGAAGCAGCCUGAAUCUCACGAUGAGUGAACUUGAAUAAGAUCAGUCUGACACGCUGUCAGGUACAUCACGAUAAAUGCUGGACACACGCACACACACACACACACACACAGGGAUCCCUACAUCUCUGGGACAGUUUGCUACAACAGUAUAUCAAGUGCAAGCUUCCAAACCGACUUAGACUGCAGCGGUACAGCCAAGAGAACCCAAGUGAGAAGGGGAGCAGAGACGUGCCCAGGCGUGGAGGUAUUUAUAGCGUUGAGAGCGGCAGCUCUGCGCUGCUGCUGCCACCAACCAGGACCGCUUUCCCUCUUACGGGGGCCGGGAUGCGGUGCUUACCGAGACAAAAAGGAGGGGAGAGAAGUAAAAUGAAGGGAGUGUGAGGCACGGACGGUUUCCCCGUGAUGGAUUACGUAGAGGACGCGAGGCGCGAGCAGAAAUGUGUCACGUUCGGGAGGAGAGCGGGAGAUAACUUUUUUUUCUUUUUUUUUUUGACUUGGCGGGCGCGGGCUCUCUCUCGUGUGGCUCGUCAGCGGGUGCUUGACUGCAGGAUGGCCCGCGGUAAUGUGCAGGCACGAGGGACGACCCCCAAGGAAUGAAUUAUACGUACCGGCAGGCUCUUCUCAUCCCCAUUCUCUGCUCCCUGGCUGCUCUCCUCUGCCCCACAGCCAAACGCCUCGCGGCUUACCGAGAGCUUUAGGUAGGCAAGCUCACGGUAAAAACGCAGGAUUAAUAGUUCUCUGAAACAAUGCUGGUGACCUCAGAUGGGGGAGAAACGUGAACACACACACACUCAGAUACACACACUCAGAUGCACAAAGGCCCAGGUACAAUAAACACACACACACACACACAUGCAAUACAUUCAGUUCAUCACAAAGUGAAGCUGUCAGAGCUAUGUCUUUUGGUAGAAGUUUGGUUUUGGGAUUUUCCAAGACUGCAAAGGAAGGAGAGUUUGACGAAUUCAGGUCACCCUCUCCAGCUUGGAAACACAUGCUUUUCUCUCUCUGUAUCCACACAUAGACAUUGCCUCUGACCAUUUAACACUGAACCAUAAUGAUUGGAAAAGAUACCUUUCCAAUGGCAUUUUAAUUCACAGUUACAAAUUCUUUCUCCACACACACACAGAUACUAAAUGUUUUACUUGUCAUUGAUU